GGGGCAAGAGGUAAGGAGGACCUGGAGAGCGGACAGAGGUUCCAUGGGAGAUCAUCUGAAGGAACAAGGCAGAGCAAUAGAGGAAGACACCCAAUAUCUUCUGUCCUACGCAUGUGUGUAUACAGGCAUUUACCCAGCCCAUGCUUCCUGAGAUGGGCCCCGGUCCGCCCUGCCCUCUUGCACUCCUGAGCAGCACUUGGGUCUGGGAUGGACAGAUCAUUGAGGCAGGUGGUUUGGGAGUUCAACAUCAUGGACCCAGCUUUCGGGAACAGAGUGGUGCUCUCCGCCGGAGUCCCAGAGGGGUUCUGACAAGCUGCUGUUAUCCACAUCAGGAUCUUGCAUCUUAGAGACGGAUUGUCUGACUGAGUGCAAAGGGCAGAAGGCACAGCAGACUUGCAUGCUGAAUUGAUGUGCAGACACUUACAGCUGUACCAGCUGAGCCUACAUGAACAGUCCUGGCCUCCAUCUUCUCCCUCAGUGCACAUAGAAUAGACUCGAUAACUCCAGGCCUGUUGGAUACCACCCUUUGGAUAUCAUUAUCUGAGAUACACAAGUGCAGCUUGCGAAAGACUUUCCUGCAAAGAAGGUAGGAGCACAUUCUCAAAGCAGUACCAUCAAGGACUGGGAGUUGAGCCCUCCCUGAAGUUCUAUGCUCCCUGCAAUGCCUUCCAGCCACUGGGCAGCAUCUUGCUUUCUCAGAGAGCCCCUUUGUGCCCUGCACUUGAGUGGCGCAUGGCUAUCUCAUUCUUGGCCUUUGGAGCUAUGUCUCAGGAGAUCGCAGAACAUGGGGUGCUCUAUCAGGCCAUGUUCUCUGCAUUCAUUCUCAUCUCUCUACUGGCUUGCCCUCGGUAAAUCCUGUUGAGACAGCUCAACAGUACCUGGAAACCUGCAGCUGGGCCCUCUCAGCAUGAUCAUCUCCCUUGAGGUCUCUUUUCAUCUCUUCCCUCUCAAACAUAAGCCCAUGAGAUUAGACCCAGGCCUGAGCCCAGCAAUGUUUCUAUUCCAAUCUGAGCCAGUCUUUUGGGGGUGCCCACACAGGUUCUCCACCUUGCUCUGCUCAGACACUUCCCGAGGGCCCUCUGUGAUUGGACUACAUCAGACAUAUCUGCCCGACUCUGUCCUUGAGAUCACUUAUCACACCAUACAGGCAGGGUCUUGUCUGAGGACAUUUGGGGAGGUGAAGUAAAACUCUACUGAUCCGUAAGGGAGCAGGCUAGCUGAUAGGCUGCCCUAGCACCCCCAGGAGUGGUACUAGGGGUACUAGUGCCCUAGUACCCCUGGUUGUGGUACUCUUCUGUAGGCAAGGACCCACAGUUAGGCAGUCAGAGACCCAUGGCUGGAGAGAGCAUCCCGGGGUCAACCUAGGUGGGCUGAGCUCCCAGGCCUUGCCUGUUGAGAAGGCUCCAGUUGCUCAGCUUCUGGUCUGUACUGCAGGCUGGGACGUAGCUGUGCAAGUCCACCAGCCGAGGGCGGAAGUGCUUCACAAUCUCGGCCACCAGCACUGUGGGAAUGCGAGGGGAACUUGGCUUGCCUGGUCAAGACCCUGGGUUGCAACUGUAAUCCCUGACCACAUGAGAUGCAUGGAAUGGAGUGGGAAGGACACGAGCUUUUCCUGGGGAGCCCAUAAUUGUCCCCGAGUCUGGCACGGCACCUAGACUCCAGGUCAGACCAAGUGGUAGGAUGGCCUGGGAAGCUAAUACAGCGUGAGAGCCCAGGGGGAGCUGGAAGAGCCACAGGAGGCCCUGUUUGCUACUACCUUUCCUAAGGAGCACGAGUCUGGACUCAAGAACCGCUCCGUUCCCCCAACACCCACACCCGUACUAGGGGGCUGGAGGCAAGGGUGGCCCUCAGCUUUGAGUCCUCUUCAUCAUCCGCCCCAUAGCGCCUCGCCCUCACUCGCACCACCAUCACUGAAGUCCCGAGCCAAGUGGCGCUUGGGGCGGCUGAGUGGGAGCCGGUCCAGCCAGGCGCAGAGGUUAUGAAUAUCCCCAGGCGUUGGCAGGAACGAAGCUGAGCUCGGCUUGGAAGCACUGAGCAUGGCAGAGAAGUGGGUGUGCAGCAGAGAAACACAGCGGAAGAAACCUGGCGGGUUUGGACCGUUGCUGGGAGACGCGGCACAGCCGGAAGGGGCGGGGCUCUAACCGCGCUGGUCCCUCCCUCGAUCCCAGGAAGGAUUGGUCCUCCUGCACGCCCAGAGAUCGGGCUGAAUCAAGGUGGAUGGUUAAAAAAUGAAGGGAGAUGGUAGGUGAAAUUGUUUGAUCUGGUGUAAUAAAAACAAACUGCCAUGUAGAAUGUGAUCUAUAAUCUAUUGAUAAAAUAGAAUCUUUAUUAGU
ensembl:processed_transcript Gm16201 predicted gene 16201